GACGAACGCUGGCGGCGUGCUUAACACAUGCAAGUCGAGCGGUAAGGCCCUUUCGGGGGUACACGAGCGGCGAACGGGUGAGUAACACGCGGGUGACCUGCCCUCAGCUCUGGGAUAAGCCUGGGAAACCGGGUCUAAUACCGGAUAUGACUCCAUGACGCAUGUUGUGGGGUGGAAAGCCUUGUGCGGCUGAGGAUGGGCCCGCGGCCUAUCAGCUUGUUGGUGGGGUGAUGGCCUACCAAGGCGACGACGGGUAGCCGGCCUGAGAGGGCGACCGGCCACACUGGGACUGAGACACGGCCCAGACUCCUACGGGAGGCAGCAGUGGGGAAUCUUGCGCAAUGGGCGAAAGCCUGACGCAGCGACGCCGCGUGAGGGAUGACGGCCU
rnacentral:rRNA from 1 species